AUUAUUGGGCUUAAAGCGUCCGUAGCCGGCUUAGCAAGUCUUCUGUUAAAUUCAGCGACCUAAUCGUUGAGCCGCGGGAGAUACUACUAGGCUAGGAGGCGGGAGAGGCCGACGGUAUUCCCGGGGUAGGGGUGAAAUCCUAUAAUCCCGGGAGGACCACCAGUGGCGAAGGCUGUCGGCUAGAACGCGCUCGACGGUGAGGGACGAAAGCUGGGGGAGCGAACCGGAUUAGAUACCCGGGUAGUCCCAGCUGUAAACGAUGCGGGCUAGGUGUUGAGGUGGCUACGAGCCACUUCAGUGCCGCAGGGAAGCCAUUAAGCCCGCCGCCUGGGGAGUACGGCCGCAAGGCUGAAACUUAAAGGAAUUGGCG
rnacentral:rRNA from 1 species